rnacentral:misc_RNA from 1 species
UGUCGAUACCUGUCCAAAACAGAACGACCCGCGAACCAACGAUCACCACUCUCGGUGGGCCGGUUUCUUAACCGAUCCCGUGCUCGCCGGAUCCGUGGUUUCGCGUAUCGCCCUGGUCGGGAGCUUUAUCUCGGUCUUGUCGUGCGCGUUGCUUCCGGAUAUCACAAAACCCCGGCACGAAAAGUGUCAAGGAACAAGCAAACGAACGGCUGGCAUUCGCCUCCCCGGAGACGGUGUGUGCGCGGAUGCUGUGCUGCGAUAUAAAGUCUAAAACGACUCUCGGCAACGGAUAUCUCGGCUCUCGCAUCGAUGAAGAACGUAGCGAAAUGCGAUACUUGGUGUGAAUUGCAGAAUCCCGUGAACCAUCGAGUCUUUGAACGCAAGUUGCGCCCCAAGCCUUCUGGCCGAGGGCACGUCUGCCUGGGUGUCACAAAUCGUCGUCCCC